AUCAAGUGGCUUGGAGCAAUGGCUCAGCCAGGAAAUCGCUUGCCUUGCAAACAUGGGGACAGGAGAUCAAUCCCUCAGAACUCACAUAAGGAGAAUCCUGGUAUAGCAACAUGCUCUUGCAAUCACCAUGCUGGGAGGCAGAGGCUGGUGAUGGAAUUAUGAAUGUGUGUCACCAGGUCCAGUUUAUGUGACGCUGGAGAUCAAGCCCAGAGUUGUAAAUAUCAGUCCUCUACAGACACACCUUAAAGACAAUGGUGGGUGAGGAGCAGAGGUUGCAAAGGAAGAAGAAUAGAUUGGUUCCUGUAGAAGUCAAGGGGGCCAGAUGGAUCAGGAUGGUGUAUGCCUGGCAGUGGUCAAAAACUGCAGUCUGUUGGAGCUGGAGAUCACGCUUCGGACCUGGAGGCAAGCAGCACUGGUCUCUGGUUCACCAGUUGAUGACUUAAGCUCGGAGGACAGAGUCCUUCUCCUAUGGGAAAGGCCCCAGCGGACAUGCACAGCUCAGCCAGAAAUUACAACGUCUGGGAGGCUUAACCCUUGGAGGACUCCCUUCUGAUUUGGGGAGGUUAUCAUGAAUGAACCAGUGCAGAUACGUCGUCACCCCUGUUCCUCCUGCUUCUGCAGCAGCAGACCCCUCAGGAUAUUCAUUUCCCAGGCAACAAGAUACAUGCUUCCACUACUCACAAGGAUUCCAAG
rnacentral:lncRNA from 1 species